rnacentral:rRNA from 1 species
UGGGGAAUAUUGCACAAUGGGCGAAAGCCUGAUGCAGCAACGCCGCGUGAGUGAUGAAGGUCUUCGGAUUGUAAAGCUCUGUCUUUUGGGACGAUAAUGACGGUACCAAAGGAGGAAGCCACGGCUAACUACGUGCCAGCAGCCGCGGUAAUACGUAGGUGGCGAGCGUUGUCCGGAUUUACUGGGCGUAAAGGGUGCGUAGGCGGAUGUUUAAGUGAGAUGUGAAAUACCCGGGCUUAACUUGGGUGCUGCAUUUCAAACUGGAUAUCUAGAGUGCAGGAGGGGAGAAUGGAAUUCCUAGUGUAGCAGUGAAAUGCGUAGAGAUUAGGAAGAACACCAGUGGCGAAGGCGAUUCUCUGGACUGUAACUGACGCUGAGGCACGAAAGCGUGGGUAGCAAACAGGAUUAGAUACCCUGGUAGUCCACGCCGUAAACGAUGAGUACUAGGUGUAGGAGGUAUCGACCCCUUCUGUGCCGCAGUAAACACAUUCAAGU